AAGCUCCUUUAAAAUCACCACGUGAACAUCAUCUGGUCCUGCUGAUAUAUCACCGUCCAUGCUAUUGGCUUCUGGCCCAUCUGUUGAGACCAUUACUCAUCGCCUGCAGAUAAAAGUUCUAGCAUGGAAACUCUCCUAAUCCCUUCCACAGGGAGCACUGCUGCAGAUGAUGCUACAACAGAACUUUGUGGAGGGCAGAGCAGAACCAGGGAGACACAGAGGGGCAGAUCCUUGUGUGAUACAACCAGGCCCAGCUCCACUGGAGCACACUGGGGAAAUGGCUUGCAGCAAGCAGAAGCAGAUCCUGCCUAACAUGGUAACAAGACUCAGAUCUGGAUGUUCUCAGCUUUCAUGUGGCCAUGCCAAAGCUCCAUUUUCAUGCCUCGCAUACUCAAACUUAAGGCUCCAGUCUAUAUUUAAAAAUGCUGUGACUAUCUCACGUUCUUCCCAGCCUACUAACCAAGUACCAUAUAAACUUUC
rnacentral:lncRNA from 1 species